AGCAAGGCUGCCAUAUCGCACCAUUGGCCCCUCUGGCCAACACCAGCAGGCGGCAGGGUAAAGUGUCGACCAAGACAGAGAGAGCAGGGGGAUCGAACCGGCAAUCUUCCGGUUACAGAUGAGCUUCCCAAUCCCCUGAGUAAAAAUAGGUAUCAACAUUCAGCCCACAUCACACCAGUUCAGCCCUGGCUUUAUAACUGAAUCUAAACAACCUGCCUGGAGCGUGAGUUUUCAGCUGAAUAAUCCUUCUGCCCUGCUUCCUUCGACUGGCUUAACAAUGACUCCAGACCAAACACAUGACUCAAACCACUCCAGACACAUUCCCCUUUAAGCUCUGAUAAUUUCAAUAUAACCAGAAGAACAUUAGUCAAAGGGAGUACACAGAGCAAUGUAAAAAAAAAAAAAAUGAAAUGGAAAACAAAGGUUACUUUAUGAUUAUGAAUAUUUAUGAAAGAGGUUAACAGAUUUUGAAUGCAAGUUCACCAUCAAGCAAUUCUGUGCUGCGAUUCAGUUGGUUUUAGUUUUCAGUUGGUGAAUCUUUUCAUGAAACUGUGAUAAAGUUACAAAGCUGUUUCUCAGUUAUGAUGUUUUGGUAUUUGUAUGUUCACACCUGCACUAAUAAACUACACCUGUGUGUAAUUCAGCCAAAUCACAGCCUCUUUUAUUGCAAUAAAAACAAAAGCCAAAAACUACAAGAAGUACUCCAGAAAUUUGCAAACAAUAACACGUGGAAACUGCAGUAUGCCUCAGAGUCAUGCUUUUUUCAUAUGUUUUUACAUUAGCCAUGUGCAGAUUAUCAUUAUCACUAACCAUGACUAUCAGAAGAGUCCUGGCUUGGGAAAUUCAAACAGAAUGUUUACUUUCAACUUUCUAAGAAUGGCACAGAUUACAAAAAUUUCUGAUCAUUUCUAAGCAACAGAAAAAACUUCAGUUGCAGAAUACCAACAACGGACAUCGUGUGGAGAUCUGCGUCACAUUGCUGCUGCCUGCUUUCUAAAUAUCACCAUGACAGUGCCUGAGCAGGUGACCUACGAAGUCUUCUGUUUAUCCCUGGCAGCUCUAGUGCUGGCUGUGAUUGAGCUCUUGCUGCUCUGUUGCCUCCUCAAACAAAUCAGAAACAGAAACAUCACUGAGAUGCAGAUCUCAGCAGAACAACCUAGUCGUAAACUGACUAUCAGAACCAAGCCGGACCAUGCAGACCAGCUGCUGGACCAGCUGCUGGACAGAGUGUUUCUCCGGGGGAAUGCAGGACUAGCAUCUGGAGGAGAAUCCCCAGAGGACGUUGAAUCACAAA